rnacentral:rRNA from 1 species
CUCCUACGGGAGGCAGCAGUGGGGAAUAUUGCACAAUGGGCGCAAGCCUGAUGCAGCCAUGCCGCGUGUAUGAAGAAGGCCUUCGGGUUGUAAAGUACUUUCAGCGGGGAGGAAGGUGUUGAGGUUAAUAACCUCAGCAAUUGACGUUACCCGCAGAAGAAGCACCGGCUAACUCCGUGCCAGCAGCCGCGGUAAUACGGAGGGUGCAAGCGUUAAUCGGAAUUACUGGGCGUAAAGCGCACGCAGGCGGUCUGUCAAGUCGGAUGUGAAAUCCCCGGGCUCAACCUGGGAACUGCAUUCGAAACUGGCAGGCUAGAGUCUUGUAGAGGGGGGUAGAAUUCCAGGUGUAGCGGUGAAAUGCGUAGAGAUCUGGAGGAAUACCGGUGGCGAAGGCGGCCCCCUGGACAAA